UACGUAGGGCGCAAGCGUUGUCCGGAAUUAUUGGGCGUAAAGAGCUCGUAGGCGGCCUGUUGCGUCCGCUGUGAAAUCCCGGGGCUCAACCCCGGGCCUGCAGUGGAUACGGGCUGGCUAGAGGCAGGCAGGGGAGAACGGAAUUCCUGGUGUAGCGGUGAAAUGCGCAGAUAUCAGGAGGAACACCGGUGGCGGAGGCGGUUCUCUGGGCCUGUACUGACGCUGAGGAGCGAAAGCGUGGGGAGCGAACAGG
rnacentral:rRNA from 1 species